UGGUUUUGUCGUGAAGAUUGAGAGGGACGGACGCCCGCUGUGCGAUGGUUUCUUUUGCCUUUCCCAUUUCACUUUCUUCAUGGCGGACCAAGAAAAAUCUGAUAUUUUUAUUAUUACCAGGCUAAGAACCUGUAUUAAGUUGCACUGCAUAUUAGCUAGUUGACGGGUCUUUCUUUGUCUCUCUUUCGCUUUAGUCUAAAUUAUUAGAUAAACUUUCUCUCGCUGUUGUUGGUUUUCCUUUUCUUUUUGCAAGGGCUGUUUCUUUUUCCUUUUUGGGUUGUCUGCUUUCAUGUUCUUGAAGGGCUAAGCCUGAAUUCUUUCUGCUUCUGGUUCUUACAGCGGAAAAUCAUUUCUGGGUUUAGGGUUUGUGUUAUAUACGGGAAGAUAUAAAGAAGACUUAUGUGCACAGAUUCUGUGUGUUGUUCAUCAUCAUCAUCAUCUACAAGGAUUCUCUUGGGUUAUUGCUUCGGCAACUUGAAUUUUGCUUGUAAUUGGUUCGCUUUGGCUGGUGUUCUGUUUGUUUUAGAGCUAAGCUGGCUGGUGGCUUCAAUGAUAACGGUAUUGUAAGAAUUUUGUAUUCAUUGACGAAUAUGAGAAAAAUUUUGUGAUCAAGAAUUUGGCUUUGGCUAGCUUGGACGCUCUAGUGCUAACAAAGAGAGAGAGAGGUUGUGUUUUUCAGCUUCCUUAUCAGCAGUGAAGGGAGCUUCUUCUUCAUCUUCUUAUUGUUUUUGUUUCCACCUUACUAGACCCUGCGUUCUUCUCUUUGAAUGGGGACACUGCCAUACCUUUAUUCCUUUAAGGCGCAUCGCUCAAUUUGCACUGAAUUAAUGAAAUUAGUUGAUAGAAUUGGACGUGUAUUUCCAGAAAUAGAAGCAGCUCGGCCACGAUGCGCAUCAGGAAUACAGGCACUAUGCUUGUUAAAUGGCACAAUUGAGAAAGCAAGGCAAAUUCUCCGGUACUGCUGUGAGUCUAGUAAACUAUAUUUGGUAAUAACUGGGGAUGUAAUAAUCUCAAGAUGUCAAAGAUCAAGGAACAAUUUUGAGCAAAGUUUAGGCCAAAUUCAGACUAUGGUUCCAACUAUGUUGGCUGCUGAGAUAUCUCAAAUUAUUGAUGAUUUAAAUGCAGCAACAUUUAUGCUGGACUCUUCUGAUGAAGAGGCUGGUAAGGCUGUGCGUGAACUGAUUCAGCAUGGCUCUUUUUUAUCUGAUUCUGUGGCAUAUUCUGAAAUGAAAGCUCUUCAAGUUGCUGCUCCAAGGCUUCAUAUUACAUCCCCAAAGGCUAUACUAAUAGAGAAAAGAUCUAUUAAGAAGCUGUUGGAUAAAGUUGGUGACACUGAUCCUACCAAAAAGAAGAUCUUAAAAUAUUUUUUGUAUCUGUUGAAGAAGUAUGGAGACUUGAUUAUGGAAGAGCAAAUAGAGAAUCCCAAAGCUGAGCAUGAGGGAUCAGUUGCACGGACAAACUCUACCAAUACUUCUGUAUAUAGCCAAUCUGUUGAAGAAGUAGAGUCUGAUAUAGGAAUUCAGCAGUAUGAGGUGCAAACUGAUGUUCUAAGUAGAGAUACACCCCCUGAGGAGUUUAAGUGCCCCAUAUCCAUGAGAUUGAUGUAUGAUCCUGUUGUCAUUGCUUCUGGACAAACAUUUGAAAGGAUGUGGAUACAAAAGUGGUUUGAUGAUGGUAAUAACGCAUGUCCAAAAACAAAAGUGAAACUGCCUCACUGUUCAUUGACCCCAAACACUGCCAUGAAACACCUGAUAUCAAGGUGGUGUGAAAAGCAUGGAGUCACCAUUCCUGAUCCAAGUGUGCAAGUGUUUCACUCAUUGGACGUAUCCUCUACAUCCAUUACUAGCUUAGGCAGCUCUAUGAAUGAUCUACACCUUCCACUGGAUAUCAGCAAUAUAUCAUUUGGGUCUUUAGAUGCUAGUUACAGUUCAGACUCUUCACGCACUAGGUUUGCAGAUGGAUCUAGUUUGAUGUUGACUCGGAAAACUGAGGAUUGCCUUCAAUUCCAGUCUCAUGCAUCCAUAAUUGAGACAGACUCAGAGUUUUUAACUAGACUUUCUGAGCUUAAUUGGGACUCCCAAUGCAAAAUGGUUGAAGAUAUCAAUAGCUAUUUGCAAUAUAAUAAUCAAUCAUGUUAUUCUAUGUCUUCUGAGAAUUUUGUUGAUCCUCUCUUUAGAUUUCUGAAGGAUGCAUGUGAGCAACAUGAUGCAAGAGCUCAGAGAGCUGGAUCUCAAUUGUUACUUGCCUUUGUGAGCCAAAAUAGAAGUGGAUUAUCAUAUUUACAUGAAGAUUCAUUUAAUCUACUGGUGUCUUUCCUGGACUCUGAAGUAACUGAAGAGACUCUUGCAAUACUGGAAGUGUUGUCCGGUGAUCCAUAUUGCAGAACUAAAAUCACAGCAGCUGGUGCUCUUGUUCCCGUAUUGAAGAUCCUUGAUUCACAGAGCAAAGAAUUCCAGGAACGAGCCAUUAAAAUUCUGCAUAAUCUGUCCUCAAACUGUGAUAUUUGUUCCCAAAUUAUAUCUUUGGAGUGCAUCCCAAAGUUGGUUCCUCUCAUAAAUGAAGGCAGAAUUGCAAGAUAUUGUAUGGUUCUGUUGAAAAAUUUGUGUGAAACUGAAAAGGCUAGGAUUGCUGUUGUUGAAACAAAUGGAUUUAUUUCUUCAGUUGCUGAACUACUUGAGAGUGGCAGUCGUGAGGAACAGGAGCAUGCAGUGGCUGUUCUUCUUUCUUUAUGCUCUCAGCGUAUCCAAUAUUGUCAGUUGGUCAUGGUUGAAGGUGUUAUUCCUUCCCUUGUUGAUAUAUCCGUCAAUGGAAACGAUAGAGCAAAGGCAACUGCCUUGGAAUUGCUUCGGCAGCUGAGAGAUAUAGACCAUGGAAAUGAACAAGAAUGCUUUCAGUCUGAUGUUGAUACCAGUAGAGAUGGAAGCCAACACACUAAAGAAAAGAAAUCUUCCAAGACAUCUGGAUUUUUCAAGAUGAAUUUAUUCUCGAAGCCAAGUUCCCAUGCAUCAAAGAAGAAGAGAUGACACUUGGAUCUUACUUUUAUUUGUUGACUUUGUGGAGACUCAGAAUCUCUUCUCAUGGUUAAAAAAAAAAAAAAAGAAUCUGCCUGGUGGGAUAUCUGUUUCUGCCUUUUUGUUGGGUUUCACUUUAACCUGGAAUGGAGCAGUAAUGUCAUCAUACUUUACCUAAAUGUAUAUUAUUAGUUGAUAUUUUUACUGGCUCCAAAUACAGGUGAGGGAAUUUAGACAAAAGCAUAAGUCAGUUGUAAUCUAGGUUCUGAAUUUGCAGACGUUGAUUUCUAUUGCAAACUGUCCAAGAAUUUAAAAGAGCUUUAUGGUCACCAAGAGGUAGAUCAAUGGGUUGGCAAAUGGCAACGGACAGAGGCUUAUAUCUGAUUUGAGCAAAAUAUAGAAUGUAAGAUUUCCAUGACCAAAAACCUUUGGCCUUGGGGACAUGCUUAUAUGAAGCGGGUGGGCUUCCUCCAAUGCUCCAAUAAGUCCUCCAACCUUUUGUCUCCCACCUUCACAUCACUUAUCCUCAUACCCAUCAUGUUAAAGGUGGCUCAAGUUUAGCUUAUGCCUAUAUGAUUUCUAUAAUCUUUCUCCAUUAAAUAUUGUGAUCUUGUCAAUAUAGUCAAAUUUGAUGUAAUUCUUCCUCUUGGCCUGUAGGAAGGCUCAAUGUAUAUAAUAUGCUGAAUUAUCCAA